AGAGUUUGAUCCUGGCUCAGGACGAACGCUGGCGGCGUGCUUAACACAUGCAAGUCGAACGGUGAACCUGCUUCGGUGGGGGAUCAGUGGCGAACGGGUGAGUAACACGUAGGCAACCUGCCCUCAGCUCUGGAAUAACCCCGGGAAACCGAGGCUAAUACCGGAUAUGACCCUGCUUGGCAUCAUGUGGGGUGGAAAGUUUUUCGGCUGGGGAUGGGCCUGCGGCCUAUCAGCUUGUUGGUGGGGUAACGGCCUACCAAGGCGACUACGGGUAGCCGGCCUGAGAGGGUGACCGGCCACACUGGGACUGAGACACGGCCCAGACUCCUACGGGAGGCAGCAGUGGGGAAUAUUGCGCAAUGGGCGAAAGCCUGACGCAGCGACGCCGCGUGAGGGAUGACGGCCUUCGGGUUGUAAACCUCUUUCGGUAGGGAUGAAGCCUUCGGGUGACAGUACCUGCAGAAGAAGCACCGGCUAACUACGUGCCAGCAGCCGCGGUAACACGUAGGGUGCGAGCGUUGUCCGGAAUUAUUGGGCGUAAAGAGCUCGUAGGCGGUCCGUCACGUCGGGUGUGAAAUUCCAGGGCUCAACCCUGGACCUGCACUCGAUACGGGCGGACUAGAGUUCGGUAGGGGAGACUGGAAUUCCUGGUGUAGCGGUGAAAUGCGCAGAUAUCAGGAGGAACACCGGUGGCGAAGGCGGGUCUCUGGGCCGAUACUGACGCUGAGGAGCGAAAGCGUGGGGAGCGAACAGGAUUAGAUACCCUAGUAGUCC
rnacentral:rRNA from 1 species